AGUGGACAUAUUUUCAAAAAUAAGUAAGGUAGUUAAAUAUUGACCCCUAAAAUUCCUGAGCCCCCAUUUCUAGCGUAAUGACUUACAAAUAUUUUACAUUGGUUAAGGUUGAAAUAAACAAAUAUACCUUUUUCUUUGCCAGGUUCAAACGGGAGGUACGAAAUGAGACGCAAAAAGUGAAUCGCACUUCUUUGGACAAACAUGAGGCCACUCCUCCACCAAUCGAGGAGUCUGUCUACAAAUACUCGAAUUUCGAGGAGCUGAGGCGUUCCCCUGCGUUCGUCGACAAACAUCUCCUCAUAAAGCAUUUGCUGGACCCAAAACCGAAUCUCUCCACGCGGCUGUACAUAACAGCGCCUGGCCUCUUCGGCAAGACGCUAAACCUCGACAUGCGUGAUCGUUUUCUAAGAUUACAAAAGACAAGACACAGGAGAGCUGAUGGAACACCCCGCAAAACCAACCAGACUAAAUUAUUCUCAGGCACAAAGAUUUCACCCAGGAGAAUGAUUUAUACACGCCCAUCAUGGACAAUACAUCGUACUGCGCUUAUCACUAGGACCGUUAUAUAAUAUAACGACCUACAUCAUGUUCAAAACACCCUUUGCAGCAUUAUCAGUGACGCGGAAUGGCAGAUAGACUCGAUGUCAGGCAAGUCGGAGUGACGAAAAAAUGACGUCGUUAGCGUAUUAUCGCGAGCACUGUAGAAACUGAACUUCCUGUCUGCGGCGGAUAUACUUCCACUUCGGCUAAAGCGCCUUUCGGAGACCCUUGGGAAAAGGGCCGUCUUGCUUGGGAUGACUUGGACAUACUGUUGCGUGCACUCGAUCAGGAGAACGCUUCCGGAUACGAAAUCUAUCUAUAAACUAUGAGCCGCGUCAUAGUUAGACUGACGCACUCCGACGUCGUUAGAAUGUCUGUGGCUGUCGGGAGGUUGAAUUUUGGAGGUGUGAUGUCCAGUAUUGCCAACUGCACUCACGUUGCCUUCAACGGAAAUGCAGGUUUGGCUCCGUUUUUUGGUCUGACCAAAAGUGAAGUCCACGAUCUCGUGGAGGCUUACCGUUUGCCUUUGCCGCAGCAAUUGAGCUGUACUACAACGGUUACGAGGUUAUGGGCUCAGAUUUGCGCAUCUACAACUCGUUUUCGAUUGCGUCACUCGUCGGGUCCAGAAGUUCGACUUUUACUGGCCAGAAUCAGGUUGCUCCUUUAUUCCCGUUCACGGCAGCUUUUUGCCACGCCAUUGAUCGGUACACAGGUAGCAUUCAGCGUCUUCGCGAAGUGGAUUCUCCGCCCCGAAAGGCAUCCCUGCAUCCAUCGGAUCAGUCACAAACCUACAGGCGCAACUCGAGAGGAAGACCCCGAAGAUCAACGAGACCCACUCGGCGGUUUUUAUGUGGUAUCUCCUGGAAACGGUGUUACUACACCAUCGGCGCCCACAAUCGAGGCUCGCAGAUGCGUCUGGCCGCCUGGAGACGGUGGUUCCCGUGAUGGCUCAGCUCUUCUUGAGCGGCUACUACGAGCGCUACUACGAGUACACAAGCAACGCCCAAGUCAUAUUCCUGGCCGCCGUCGCCAAACUGUCCCCCUGCCCAAGUUCCUACGACCGACUGCAUGGCCAUACACAACCUGUAUCCAUAGGCCAUACACAACCAUGUAUCAUUGGUUGAGUUGGCCAUUUCGUCGCAGACCGGGGUUGCUGGGCAAUUUAGUUGCCAUCUUCUCCUCGACGCAGGCGGUGCAUGCUGGUGUCACGGAUGUCGUGUACGGGAAGCGGGUGCCGCUCGACAGAAGGAGGUGAGUGAAUUGAGGGGGCGUUCAAGUAUUACGUAGGUAACGCACCUUUUCCAAUUUUUCGACCAUCCCUUCCCUUGUAACGCACCCGUAACGCAGUCCUACAUCCCCACCUAGAAAACAACACAAAAAUUUAGUUCCAGUAUUCUAAUUUUAAUUAUUCAGUUGCAUGCUUAUUUUUUGUUUUAGUUUUUACAUUUUUAGCCUUUUUUUCCAGUUGAGAAAGGGCAUGUAACUGGCCCGAAACGUCCCUGGUUUGUUUUUAUUUCUCCUUUUCCUUGUAUACCCAUUUGUUUUUGUAUUUUAAUGUGUUCUCAUUAUUA
rnacentral:lncRNA from 1 species